rnacentral:tRNA from 2 species
GGCGGUGUAGCCAAGUCGGUAAGGCAAGGGACUGCAAAUCCUUGAUCCUAGGUUCAAAUCCUAGCGCCGUCUCCA